rnacentral:rRNA from 1 species
AUAGCGUAUAUUUAAGUUGUUGCAGUUAAAAAGCUCGUAGUCGGAUUUUGGCUGAGAACGGUCGGUCCGCCGUUAGGUGUGCACUGACUGGUCUCAGCUUCCUGGUGAGGAGGUGUGCUUCAUCGCCACUUAGUCACCGUGGUUACUUUGAAAAAAUUAGAGUGUUCAAAGCGGGCUACGCUUGAAUAUAUUAGCAUGGAAUAACACCAUAGGACUCCUGUCCUAUUUCGUUGGUCUCGGGACGGGAGUAAUGAUUAAGAGGAGCAGUUGGGGGCAUUCGUAUUUCAUUGUCAGAGGUGAAAUUCUUGGAUUUAUGAAAGACGAACUUCUGCGAAAGCAUUUGCCAAGGAUGUUUUCAUUGAUCAAGAACGAAAGUUGGGGGCUCGAAGAUGAUUAGAUACCAUCCUAGUCUCAACCAUAAACGAUGCCGACUUGGGAUUGGCGGAUGUUAAUUGAUGACUUCGCCAGCACCUUAUGAGAAAUCAAAGUUUUUGGGUUCCGGGGGGAGUAUGGUCGCAAGGCUGAAACUUAAAGGAAUUGACGGAAGGG